GCCCUUAUAGUUUAAUGGUAAAAUAUAUCAAUGGUAAUGAUAAGAUACAAGUUCGAUCCUCGUUAAGGGCACCA
rnacentral:tRNA from 1 species